CGGCCGGGCGGGGGCGCGGGGUGCGGGGCGGCGGCGCGGGCCGGGCGGCGGUAUGGCGGAGAGCGAGGCCGAGACCCCCAGCACCCCGGGCGAGUUCGAGAGCAAGUACUUCGAGUUCCACGGCGUGCGGCUGCCGCCUUUCUGCCGCGGGAAGAUGGAGGAGAUCGCCAACUUCCCGGUGCGGCCCAGCGACGUGUGGAUCGUCACCUACCCCAAGUCCGGCACGAGCUUGCUGCAGGAGGUGGUCUACUUGGUGAGCCAGGGGGCCGACCCUGAUGAGAUCGGCUUGAUGAACAUCGAUGAGCAGCUCCCCGUCUUGGAAUACCCGCAGCCCGGCCUGGACAUCAUCAAGGAGCUGACGUCUCCUCGCCUCAUCAAGAGUCACCUCCCCUACCGCUUCCUGCCCUCUGACCUCCACAAUGGCGAUUCCAAGGUCAUAUACAUGGCCCGGAACCCCAAGGACCUGGUGGUGUCUUAUUACCAGUUCCACCGCUCGCUGAGGACCAUGAGCUACCGGGGCACUUUCCAGGAAUUCUGUCGGCGCUUUAUGAACGACAAGCUAGGCUACGGCUCCUGGUUUGAGCAUGUGCAGGAGUUCUGGGAGCACCGCAUGGACUCGAACGUGCUUUUCCUCAAGUAUGAAGACAUGCACCGGGACCUGGUGACGAUGGUGGAGCAGCUGGCCAGAUUCCUGGGGGUGUCCUGUGACAAGGCCCAGCUGGAGGCCCUCACUGAGCACUGCCAUCAGCUGGUGGACCAGUGCUGCAAUGCCGAGGCCUUGCCUGUGGGCCGGGUUUUGCUUUCUGUGUUUUGUUAUCCUUGGAUGUGACCUCCGAAAUACCCCUUUUGGUUCCUUUGCAUGCACAUUGCUCUUUGCUCAGAAGACCUCCUUGCGUUGGUGAGAAUGCAGGGCUUUGAGUAGCCAGCUGCAUUGCUUAAGUUUGAUUCAUAUCACAGCAUAAAUUGCACUGUCUUGAUUCCAAAUCGUAAACCAGGAAGAGUUGGGCUGUGGAAGGACAUCUUCACUGUCUCCAUGAACGAGAAGUUCGAUUUGGUGUAUAAACAGAAGAUGGGAAAGUGCGACCUCACGUUUGACUUUCAUUUAUAAUGACAGGGACAGUGAACUUGCAUGCUCACAGUGCCCAGACCCUCCACGAGCUACACGUCCCUUAGGCACUCAUUUGUUAUUUGCUGGACACACUCUGGAAGCAGUGUAAACACGGGGGGUGGGGGUGGGGGUGCGACAGCAGAGCACUGGGAAGAGGUGGGGGUGUUCCAGUCCAGAGCAGCGUCUCUCGCCUUGGAAGUUGGAAGUCUACAUGUCUGAUUGCAAAUAUCGUAAAGGUUGCAGUUCUGAUGGCCUGUGUCAGAGGUACACAGUCUGUAACAUAAGCAACUAGGAUGCCAAACCUUUUACGUCCCCACAUUAUUUAUUGUAUUUUAUAGAGCUUUUCACUGGAAAUCUAAAUAAAUGUCAGUAAACCAAAUAAAGGAGUUCAUUUCCGAGGGGACUCAGGAGUGAGCCACACCCAAAUGGUAGAAAGAUCUCAGGGUUGACUCUUUUUAUUUUUGUAGUUUUGUUCUGUAAGGCAGAGCCAUUCAGUUCUCACCUGGCUCCGAGGUGGGGUGGGGACAAAGGGUGAGCUGGGUGUAGGGAACCUUCUGAUGGAGUUCGGCUUGUUGUCACCUUCCUGAAGCAAAGCAGAAACUGGCCAGGAGGGCAUUUUUGGAGAGGAUGCCCCUCGCUUGAUGCCCUGCAGGCAGCUCCGAAGGCCCAUACAGAGGAACUGGCAGCCAUCCCCUGAGGGCACCUGCCCAGCGAGGCCAGCAGGUGGGAGUCUAACGCAGGCCCUGGAGAGCCUGCUGCAGAGACUGAACAUGCUCCAGAUUUGGUUUUCAUUCUGCAGUUUUAACUUUUGUUCCCUGAAGCAGAAAUCUACUUAUGCUGGUGAGCAGAUGCUUAAUAGUAAAUUUCUAAAACUUUAUCUGUCAUUCACUUUGUUCCAUCUGUACCUGAGGCUCUCAGCCAUGGGACAACCAUUUUGCAAUCGUAAUGCCCCAUUUCCCUCAGACCAGGUGGCAGUCUUGCCUUUGUCUCUGUGCCGUAUCUCAGUAUGACUGAGGGCCCAGAGGUGGCAUCUUUUGUCCCACCACCAGCUUCAUCACCAGGCUCACGUCUGGUGUUGAUGGCCAGGUAGCAGGGGACGGGCACCAGUUUGUGUAAUGCUGCCAUGGUGUUGUCGUGGUAUUUAUGUGGCUGGGAAGUGCCCAAGGUGGUGGCUGGAGGGGUGACUACUGUGUAAGGGGUCUCUGUUCUGUGUUGCUGUCUUUGAAAAGCAGACAUAUGCUUCUGUUUGAUUUGCAAAGGAGAGCAGCUUGAAUAGGGCAGGUGGUCCGUGGCAUUGCACGGUGGGCUUGGCAGCACCUUUUCUGUGUAUCUGAGGGAGGCUGCUUUCUGUGAAAUUUCUUUUCUAUUUUUCUAUUUUUAGUACUGUAUGGAUAUUACUGAGCACCACACGAUACUUCUGUGCUUGCUUGCAUCUUUAAUAAAGACAUGACCCAUG